AUGUAAGAAGCUUUUUACAUACCAACUUUAUAUACGGAUUAUUAAAUAAUUAAUAAUUAAAAAUUAAAAAUAUAACUUAAAUGAGAAUUCUCAGUUACACAGCUUGAGCACUGCAACCCUCGUUCUGUCCCGCUCCCUCGUUCUCCCGUUUCACUCACUGCCUCUCUCUCGAGCACUUUAACCCUCGUUCUCUGCCGUCCAGCCUCUCACUCUCUCGCUCACUAAGCUCACUCUUGCACUCACUCUAUGUCCAUCUCGUUCACUCUCACACAGUUCACCAUUUUCUUCUUCUUCACACUCCGCUAACUCCCUGGUCACCAUUGUCUCGCAGUGACUUGCAAAGAAGAAGAAGUUCAUUUUUCUCACUCUGACUAAGUCUUUCAUUCUUCUGAUUUAGGGUUUAUUGUUCAUUCAUCUACAAGUAAUUGUCUCUGUUCAUUCGUAAAUCCCUAUAUUCGUAGAACUAGAAAACCCUAAUCCUUUUUGCUUUCUUUCCGAUUGGCACAAAUGCUUUGUGGUGUGGUUCACAUGUUGUGUGUGGAAGACGUUGCAUUGUUAGGAGAUUCUGAUUGAGGAGGGUCUUGCGUUUUGGGAAGUUCUUGAUUCGUAAAACCACAAACCCAAAAUCCCUAAAUUUGUAAAACCAAAAUACCCUAAAUCCCUCUUUUUUCUUGAUUCUCUCUUCAAUUUUGAAUUUGAAGAAGCAAUCAGUUUUGUGAACAAGAUAAAGGAGAAUCAGUUUUUCUGGUGGUUUUGCUGAUAUAGUUUACACUCUUUCUUUUAAACAAAAUUUUUAGGUUGCUACCCUCUUCAAGGACCAUCGAGAUUUGCUUGAGGAGUUCACUAGAUUCUUACCGUAUACCUCUGCUACACCUUCGACACAGUAUGCUCCAUAUAGUCAAAAUUCGUUGCAGCACUUUAAUGAGCAGAGUUCCACGACUCCAAUGAUGCGCCAAAUUCCACCAGACAGGGCAGCCAUAAGCGAUNGAACUGCUUGGAAUUGUCUGAUACAGAAGUUGGUAGCAAUGGACUACAGCAUUUAUCAGGACUGUCUAAUCUGCAGAAAAUAAAUCUUUCUUUUACCAUGGUUAGUGACGGUGGUUUAAGCAAAUUNUGUGGACUCUCAUCUCUGAAGUCCCUUAAUUUGGAUGCUUACCAAAUUUCUGACAUUGGGCUGUCAAACCUCACAAGUUUGACUGGCCUCACUGACCUGGAUUUGUUUGGUGCACGAAUCACAGAUUUUGGUACAAACUAUUUGAAAAAGUUUAAGAACCUGAGGUCUUUGGAAAUAUGUGGUGGAGCUUUGACUAAUGCUGGUGUAAAAAUAUCAAAGAGCUCUCUUCUCUGGUCUGCUUAAAUUUAUCACAGAACAGCAAUCUUACAGACAAAACUCUUGAGUUAAUUUCAGCGAUGGGAACUUUUUUGCCGUAAAGGAGGUGUCUUUAUUGGAUAACGACANCCAGGGCAAANAGAGCAUUUUCNAGCUUCAGCAGGAAAUAUCUCUUUUGAGUCAGUUCCGACACGACAACAUAGUUCGAUAUCUUGGCACUGACAAGGGACAUCAAGUGUGCCAAUAUAUUGGUUGAUGCAAAUGGGUCCGUCAAGCUUGCAGAUUUUGGAUUGGCGAAG